CUUCGUCAUGUGCUCCACGGCUUUACGGCUGUGCCACUAUGUGUGGAAACGUCGUAGCGGAUGAAUGUGAAUUAUGGAUCUCCAAGUGGCGUCGCCCGCGUCAUUUUCAAGAUUUUACCCGUUUUGAAGGUACGUAGUGAAUGUGCGAGGCAUUCACGUUCCUACUACGUGGUUAUCCAUGCGUUUCCCGUCUUCGCAGGCAAUAGGGCUGUUGAUAGGGAGAAUGCUAGGCUACUGCAGACUGCAACCAUAGGCGCUGUGUCUAAAGGUUAAGCUCACAUGACGCGGCAGGGAAGGGAGUCCGUGGCGAAAAGUGAAUAUAGCCGAAGUUGGAUAGCGUUAAUUUUUGCGCACGAAAGGCAAGCUGGACACAUCGCAAAUCUCCAGUUGUACGAAACACAGUGCAGCAUGGUCGUCGGUUAUGCCAGUGCUUCAACAUAUGUUUCAGCGUCGCACUUCGGACAUUGCGGGCAUAUACCUUUAAGUUUUUCCCCUUGUGGACCGACGCUGUGUGUGUUCAUGGACAUCAUGUUUUCAAAGACAUGUAAGUUCUCAAUAAUAAUGCGAAAAAAAUGCUGGUCAUGUUAGGCUGUGAU